AGGAUACUAAAUGGGUCUAUGUGACUUUAGGGACCCUCUGCUUUUGGACUAGCCUGGAACCCAGGUUCAGUCCUGCUGACCUGGCACUGGAAGGGAGGCAGGGUGCUGGCACCCACGAGCAAGCCACAGCCAAGCAGACUGAUCUCGGCUGGGAUUACAGGUGUGAGCCACUGCGUCUGGCCCCAAGUAACUUUUUAACACAGUUCUUCAACUGCAUACCUUCAAUCUAAGAUGGAGUCUCACUCUGUCGCCCAGGCUGAAGUGCAGUGG
rnacentral:lncRNA from 1 species